AGUGAACGCUGGCGGUAGGCCUAACACAUGCAAGUCGAACGGCAGCACAGUAAGAGCUUGCUCUUACGGGUGGCGAGUGGCGGACGGGUGAGGAAUACAUCGGAAUCUACUUUUUCGUGGGGGAUAACGUAGGGAAACUUACGCUAAUACCGCAUACGACCUACGGGUGAAAGCAGGGGAUCUUCGGACCUUGCGCGAUUGCAUGAGCCGAUGUCGGAUUAGCUAGUUGGCGGGGUAAAGGCCCACCAAGGCGACGAUCCGUAGCUGGUCUGAGAGGAUGAUCAGCCACACUGGAACUGAGACACGGUCCAGACUCCUACGGGAGGCAGCAGUGGGGAAUAUUGGACAAUGGACGCAAGCCUGAUCCAGCCAUACCGCGUGGGUGAAGAAGGCCUUCGGGUUGUAAAGCCCUUUUGUUGGGAAAGAAAAGCAGCAGGUUAAUACCCCGCUGUUCUGACGGUACCCAAAGAAUAAGCACCGGCUAACUUCGUG
rnacentral:rRNA from 1 species